rnacentral:rRNA from 1 species
AGAGUUUGAUCCUGGCUCAUGACGAACGCUGGCGGCGUGCUUAACACAUGCAAGUCGAACGGAAAGGCCCUUCGGGGUACUCGAGUGGCGAACGGGUGAGUAACACGUGGGUGAUCUGCCCUGCACUUUGGGAUAAGCCUGGGAAACUGGGUCUAAUACCGAAUAUGACCAUGCACUUCCUGGUGUGUGGUGGAAAGCUUUUGCGGUGUGGGAUGGGCCCGCGGCCUAUCAGCUUGUUGGUGGGGUAAUGGCCUACCAAGGCGACGACGGGUAGCCGGCCUGAGAGGGUGACCGGCCACACUGGGACUGAGAUACGGCCCAGACUCCUACGGGAGGCAGCAGUGGGGAAUAUUGCACAAUGGGCGCAAGCCUGAUGCAGCGACGCCGCGUGAGGGAUGACGGCCUUCGGGUUGUAAACCUCUUUCAGCACAGACGAAGCGCAAGUGACGGUAUGUGCAGAAGAAGGACCGGCCAACUACGUGCCAGCAGCCGCGGUAAUACGUAGGGUCCGAGCGUUGUCCGGAAUUACUGGGCGUAAAGAGCUCGUAGGUGGUUUGUCGCGUUGUUCGUGAAAACACACAGCUUAACUGUGGGCGUGCGGGCGAUACGGGCAGACUUGAGUACUGCAGGGGAGACUGGAAUUCCUGGUGUAGCGGUGGAAUGCGCAGAUAUCAGGAGGAACACCGGUGGCGAAGGCGGGUCUCUGGGCAGUAACUGACGCUGAGGAGCGAAAGCGUGGGGAGCGAACAGGAUUAGAUACCCUGGUAGUCCAA